rnacentral:rRNA from 1 species
UUACCACUUUGACAUGAAAGAGAUUCGAAAGAGCACAGGUGCUGCAUGGCUGUCGUCAGCUCGUGUCGUGAGAUGUUGGGUUAAGUCCCGCAACGAGCGCAACCCUGUCUUAGUUGCUAUCUGGGACUCUAAGAGACUGCCGGUGCCAACCGGAGGAAGGUGGGGAUGACGUCAAGUCCUCAUGGCCCUUAUAGUGGGCUACACACGUCAUACAAUGGGGUACAAGGGGCACCGCGAGGGGAGCAAUCCCAAAACCGUCGUAGUCCGGAUCGCAGUCUGCAACUCGACUGCGUGAAGUCGGAAUCGCUAGUAAUCGUGAUCAGAUGCACGGUGAAUACGUUCCCGGGUCUUGUACACACCGCCCGUCACACCAUGGGAGCGGGCUGCCGAA